AGCCUGGUGGCGGAUGGUCCGUACCCACAUGUAAUGCGUAGUUCGUCCUUGCUUACUCAAGUGGGAUACCCUCGUUCGAAUCGGGGCCAGGCUG